rnacentral:pre_miRNA from 1 species
CAAUAAGCAUGGUACACCCGGAUGACAGUCUCAAACGGUCGUUAUAAUUAUACAGAUCGGUGGGACUUUCGUCCGUUUGUAACACUUAUUCAACAUAU